rnacentral:rRNA from 1 species
AACGGAAAGGCCCUGCUUGCAGGGUACUCGAGUGGCGAACGGGUGAGUAACACGUGGGUGAUCUGCCCUGCACUUCGGGAUAAGCUUGGGAAACUGGGUCUAAUACCGGAUAGGAGCCAUCUUUAGUGUGGUGGUUGGAAAGUUUUUUCGGUGUAGGAUGAGCUCGCGGCCUAUCAGCUUGUUGGUGGGGUAAUGGCCUACCAAGGCGGCGACGGGUAGCCGGCCUGAGAGGGUGUACGGCCACAUUGGGACUGAGAUACGGCCCAGACUCCUACGGGAGGCAGCAGUGGGGAAUAUUGCACAAUGGGCGCAAGCCUGAUGCAGCGACGCCGCGUGGGGGAUGAAGGCCUUCGGGUUGUAAACUCCUUUCGCUAGGGACGAAGCUUUUUUGUGACGGUACCUAGAUAAGAAGCACCGGCUAACUACGUGCCAGCAGCCGCGGUAAUACGUAGGGUGCGAGCGUUGUCCGGAAUUACUGGGCGUAAAGGGCUCGUAGGUGGUUUGUCGSGUCGUCUGUGAAAUUCUGGGGCUUAACUCCGGGCGUGCAGGCGAUACGGGCAUAACUUG